GGGUGCGUAGCUCAGUUGGUUAGAGCACUACACUGAUAAUGUAGAGGUCGGAAGUUCGAGUCUUCCCGCACCCACCA
rnacentral:tRNA from 3 species